UACGUAGGGGGCAAGCGUUGUCCGGAAUCAUUGGGCGUAAAGAGCGUGUAGGCGGCCCGAUAAGUCCGCUGUGAAAGUCCAGGGCUCAACCCUGGAAUGCCGGUGGAUACUGUCGAGCUCGAGUCCGGAAGAGGCGAGUGGAAUUCCUGGUGUAGCGGUGAAAUGCGCAGAUAUCAGGAGGAACACCAAUGGCGAAGGCAGCUCGCUGGGACGGUACUGACGCUGAGACGCGAAAGCGUGGGGAGCAAACAGG
rnacentral:rRNA from 1 species